AACGGUUCUCUAUUUGCAGAGAUUAAAAGGGAAUCGGGUGUAAAUCCCGAACAGUCCCGCUGCUGUGAGUUCUACAAUGAGGCUUAUUGAAUAUCCUUUGCCACUGUUGGUUAAAGCCGAUGGGAAGGCUUCGAUAGCCGGAACGAGUCAGAAGACCUGCCGUAUUGC
rnacentral:ncRNA from 1 species